rnacentral:rRNA from 1 species
GGGGGGGGGGGGGGGGGGGGGGGGGGCGGGCGGGGCGGGGGGGGGGGGCGGGGGGGGCUUGUGGGGGGGGGGUACGCGAGGGGCGAACGGGUGGGGAACACGGGAGUGAGCUGCCCCCAACUUGGGGAUAAGCCUGGGAAACUGGGUCUAAUGCCCGAUAGGACUGCAGGGUGGUGCCUGUGGUGGAAAACGAGUUUCUAGCGGGUGGGGAUGAGCUCGCGGCCUAUCGGCCUGGUGGUGGGGUAAUGGCCUACCAAUGCGGCGGCGGGUAGCCGUCCUGAGAGGGUGGACGGCCACAUUGGGACUGAGAUACGGCCCAGACUCCUACGGGAGGCAGCAGUGGGGAAUAGUGCACAAUGGGCGGAAGCCUGAUGCAGCGACGCCGCGUGGGGGAUGACGGCCUUCGGGUGGUAAACGCCUGUCGACCGAGAGGAAGCCACCUGGUUGGAAGGGUGGUGACGGUAGUGGUAGAAGAAGCACCGGCUAACUACGUG